UGUUUAUGGACAUCUUAAACUGAAAAACGGGGAAGUGAGGAAUUGCAAGGAGCCCAAAACAGGAAACGCGGAGACCAAGAAGGCAAAUGCGUGGAGUCGACCGGAGAGUCUGGAUGUUCAGUGCCGGCAGCAUCAACCGCCCAGGGGCCAUUCCAGCCUUCCUGCGGACCCCCACUGUGAUGCAGCCACACCUGGACAUGAAGCCCUUCCUACAGUUUCCGCUGGAAACUCCGCACUCCGCCGGGAUUUUCCCCAACUUCGCUGCUAUGGACCCCAUCCAGAAGGCCGUGAUUAACCACACGUUUGGUGUUCCGCUGAUUAAGACCAAAAGGCCGGUCAUUUCCUGCAACGUCUGCCAGAUCCGCUUCAACUCAGAGAGCCAGGCUGAGGCCCACUAUAAAGGAAAUCGGCAUGCACGACGGGUCAAAGGGAUCGAGACCUCCAAAUGCCGUCCAAAGGAUGCCGAGAAGCCCAAGUCUACUACCUCUUCCUCCACCUCAAACCCUGUGAAAAGUCACCCAAGCAGCAAGAUGGACCCAGUCCGACCAGAUGACCAGCAGCCGCUCCAGAGGCAGAACGGACCUUCACUAGCCCCCCGUCCGCUUGCAAUGGCCACAGGUCUACAAGACUCAUCCAGCAUCGCUCCUCUCCCCUUGAUACCAGCAUCCAGAGCAAGUGGCACCAUCACAGUGCCCACACACCCACUGGUCAAAGCAUCACACUCAGAAUUCAAUGUUGGCAUCACCAACGGUACCCUCGCCCCCACCAGCUCUUCUUCUCCUGCCACCAGCCCUGAAUCUGAAGAGGAUAAAGCCAAGAAACUGCUCUACUGCUCCUUGUGCAAAGUGGCCGUCAACUCUCUGUCUCAGCUGGAGGCGCAUAACAAGGGUACCAAACACAAAACGAUCCUAGAGGCCCGUAGUGGACUGGGGCCCAUCAAGGCAUACCCUCGGCUGGGUCCGAAAUUGACCUCUGAACAGGGAGGUGGGACCCCCGACCCCAACGCUCAGGAGAGGACCUUCCACUGUGAGAUCUGCAAUGUCCGUGUCAAUUCUGAGGUGCAGCUCAAACAGCACAUUUCAAGUCGCCGACAUCGUGAUGGCGUCGCAGGGAAACCGAAUCCUCUUCUCAGUCGGCAUAAGAAGCAAAGAAUAGGUGAUGCUACGUCAGCACUGUCGUUCCCAAAGGACCUCCCGAAGGCUCUGGGUGCCGGACUGCUCCCCAGUCCUCUGGCUGUUGCCUCGUUGAUGGCGGCCGCUGCCUCCUCUUCUCCACUGGCUCUGCGGGCUCCACCACCCCCCACCACCCACCUCCUGCAGGGACCACCCCUUACCCACACCCUCCUAAGGCCUGCCCCUGGGCCCAUCCGCACGUCACAUGGGCCCAUCCUGUUUUCACCCUACUGAUGACAUCGGCAGCGGCGGCGGCGGCAGCAGCAGCAGAAGCACUUCCAAAAAAAAAAAGCACACUGUGAAACAUCUCAAAAAAAAAAAAAAAUAAUAAUAAUAAUAAUAAUAAUGUAUUUAAGAACAACAAGAAGAAGAGCAAUGCAGGAAUAAGCGAGCUUCAUUCCACAGCCAUUCAUCGCCGAGGACACUCUACUCCCCUCCACAGCCACUGCUGCUCCCUAACACCAAUAAUGGCUGGGCGUGGUGGAAUUUGGAGGGUGGUGAGGGGGGGGGGGGGGGGGGUGCGCACUGUAAAGUAAAUAAACCGCAUGCUCGCAACCACCGGAGGAAAGCCAUUUAUCUUCAGAAGCCGACCUCAACCUUGUGGACAAUCACUGCGGGGGGCGGCCUCAGUGACCACCGAGCAGCAGAAAAGAGGAAACUGGCGAAAAAGGUCUCAGGGGCCACAAGAAAUGUCCCCUUCCAAGGUUCCUGUUUUGUGACCCACAUCCCAUGAGUCUUCGCCUUCCCUCCUCAUCAAGUCUUCUUGUGGACCCCCAAACUCCUGUAAGGAGGUGUGAAAACUCAGCAAAGGAUAUUUUUGUAUUGGACAUGAUGCUGCAUGUGGUGGUGAGGGGGGGGGGGGGUCAACACCCCAGACUCACUGUAAAAUAGAAACCCAUUUAUGCACUAAAAGGACAGAAAGUAGCAGUUUGGAGCAGCCAAUCGGUGACUGAUGUUCUCCGAUAACCAAGUGGCUCAUCAGCAAUACAACAACACACACCAUUCACUUUAAGAGAUCUUAACUCCAUAGGUACACAGGAGGCUGGCAGAGGGUCAGCCACCGGGUUAGGGACAGGCGCAUCAUGACAAAUCAAUGACUAGAAGUCAAGUGGGUGGCUUGAAGGUGCCAACGAGAACAGUUCACACCUAGCAGGGACACCUUGGACCCCCACUUCUUCCCCAUUUCCAUUUUUCCUGUCCACUGUGAAUACAACUGAACUGGCUACACGGUAGAGGAGACACCAGAGGAGGAGACAAAUAUAUGUUGGAAUCAUCAAGUCAAAGAGAACCUGCAUGGACUGUAUGAGCCACAAGACCACAGUUGUGGUGAAGGUCAUUCUUACAGGUCACAUCUCGGUCGCAUAGGAGAAGAAACAAAUCACAACCGUGUUGAGUAAUGCUGGGAGAAACUCUAACCAGAAGUAGAUUCCCUCAUAGAACCAUAGGAGGAAACACUUCAGAGUUAACAGCACCGACAAAUCGGCUUCAUCAAAGAAAUUGGAAAUGUUUCCAGGAAGUUCUUCACUGGGGACAACUGAAGUGGAAACAGCCAGUGGGGCACAGAAGAAGGAAAGCAUUUCCCACCUAAUCCUGUGUCACACAAAACAGGCACGGAGAAAUGACUUGGGAAAAUGGAAGUGGAAGCAGCUAGAGGGAAACAAAACAGGCACAGAGAAAUGACUUGGGAAAAUGGAAGUGGAGGCAGCUAGAGGGAAACGGAACAAGAAAUGUACCUCAGUUACUCCGGAGUCAUACCAAAACAGAUGGGAAAGGACUUGGGGGGAAAUGAAAUGGAAGCAGAACAAAGAAAUGGCAUCCCAGUUAAUCCAGAGUCGCAGCAGCUAUAAGGAGACAGAAACAGGAAAUGACUUGCUAAAAGUGAAGUGGAACCAACUAGUGGGAAGAAGAAUGAGAAAUGCAUCCCAGUUAAUCCUGAGUCACACCAAAGAAGAAAAGGGGAAAUGAUUUGGAAAAACUGAAGUGGAAACAACUAGAGAUUAAAAAAAGCAAGAAAUGUAUCCCAGUUAAUCCUGAGUCACACCAAAAUGGAAUGGGAAAAUGGGAAAUGACUUGGGACAACUGAAGUGGAAACUGUUAUAGAGAAACGGUGGAUGAAAUAUGGCCCAGUGAAUCUGGAGUCACACCACUUGUGAAGAGUCCAGAAAUGGGAAAUCACGUCCAAGUGAAUGCACAUCAGGAAAAUAGGGAAAGGGACGUACAGUUGAACCUCAUUCACGUGAGGAGAAGCAAGACGAUGCCUGUCCCAGGAACCUGUUUAUCAUCCCACAUAUUCAGGAAACUCUUCCUAGUUACAAGUCUUCAGAUAAGCUGGGAGGAAACAGGAAAUAGCAAAAUGAAAAUAGUGACUUAGUCUGCAUGGAGCAACAUGGGAGAGAGGAAACACUUCCUAGUUCCUUCAUAUACCAAACAAACUGAGCAAUUUAGGAAAGUAAAUGAGCCCCAGCUAGACAUUAUUGAAUGCCAGGAAACAAGAGAGGAAGCACUUCCCAGUUACACAUCAGUCAGAUCCUCUAAAAACAGGAAUGGACUCCCAUUUAUAAAUCUGUUGUUAAAAAAAAACAACAGGAAAUGUAGGAAAUGUGUUAGGAAGCGUUUCCCACUUUUGACAUCUUCAGCCUAGCUGCGGAAGAUAACUGAAAAAAUUAAAUCGAAGGGGCUCAGGAAUUGCUUCCCAGUUGGUCUUCAGUCCCUCCAGCUUUAAGGAGACAAGAAAUGGGGAAUGAAUUCCAACAUACGCACGUCAAGAAAACUGAGAAAGAGAAAUAUUUUACAGCUGUGCCUCAGUCAUAUACGGAAAAGGAUAGGGCAUACAGUAUGUCCCAGGUACAUACAUACCUACAUUCCACCUGCUGUGGAAACUAUUCCAAGUUACAAGUGAGCAGAUCGGCUAAAGGGAAAUAUGAAAUAGCUAAAUCCAAAAGAAAGGCCAAAUGAACAGGAAAAAAAGAGUCCUACACAUACUGGAUUUAAUCCACAUUUAACGAAACAGGAGAGGAAACUCCCAGCUCCCUCUUAUUCUAAAAAAAAAUUGAAAGAAAGAAAAUAAAUCUCACUUACAAAUUAGUAAAUAUGACUACAGAGAAAAGAAGAGAGGAAACACUUCCCAGUUACCCCACAAAUAAAUGAAGUACCCCAUCAUUUAGGAAAAAUGUAAAAGACAGAAGUGAAAAACGCUAACUAGUGGGAAGCAGAAGAAGAAAUGCAUACCAGUUAAAUCCUGCACCAAACCAGGAAACAAGAAACCGGAAGUGACUUCCAGGUGUUUGCCCUUCAGGGAAACCGGGAAUGGAAACACAUUACAGUUUAGGGAAAGAGGAGAGGGCACAUGUCCUGAGAAGAACUCAAGGAAGCUCUUCCAUAGCUACAAGUCAGCAGAUCAGCUCCUUGGAAAUGCCAACAGAAAAGGGAAAUGAAGAAGGAAACGAUUUCCACAAAAAUGUGACUUGGCUUACAUAUAAUAACAUAACAUAGGAGGGAGAAACACUUCCCAGCACCCAAACUGAAGGAGCCAGGGAAGAAAAUAAGUUUCAGCAAGACAUUAAGGAGCAUGAGGAGAGAAGACGGGAAGCCCUUCCUGGUUACACUUCUGUCAGGAAAAGAGGAAUAAACUCACAUUAACAAAUUUUUUUGGUAAAAAACUCUUGCCACUCUGGAAGUCAUUAGUAUGACUAUGGAAGAUAACUGGAGAAAAAUGCAUUGAAGGGGAAAAAGGAAAUGCUUCCCCAUUAGUCUUACAUCCCACCAGCUGUAAGGAGACAAGAAGUGGGAAGUGACUUCCCAGAAAGAGUUGUGCCUCAUUCGUGUAGGAAAUAAGGCAAAGGCAUAUGUGCUGGAUGCAUUUCCAUCAUCCCACCUAUUGAAGAAACUCUUCUCAGCUCCAAGUCAGCAGAUCAGGAAAUGGACAAGAGCUCGAUCCAAAUGAAAAGGAAAAGCAAGAAGAAAAGGAUCUCUACUCAGACAUGAUUUACACCCGAUAUAGCAACAGAGGAGUGGAAACUGUCACAAUACGGACUCUAUGAACGUGUGACACACUUGACAGCUUCAUCUUGUUCUAAACAAAACGAUGGAACCAGGAAAGGAAAUGAGUCCCAGCUAGACAUUAGUUAAAGUGACCUACAAGGAAACAUGAGUGGAAAUGCAUCCUCAGUCAAACCAUCUCGUGGAAAAUAGAAAAUAGAGGGUAUUUACAAAUCUGUUUAUAAAAAAACCAUAGCAGGAAAUGAUUUAGAAAUCAGUUCCCACUUUUGUGUCCAUCAGUGUGGUUAUGGAAGAAAACUGGAGGAAAACACAUAACAGGGGCAAAGGAAAUGCACUCCUGGUUAAUCUUAAAUCCUUCCAGCCGUAGAGAGACAAGAAAUGGGAAAUGACUUCCAGAUGUUUGAACUUCGUGGAAACUGGGAAUGGGGAAUACUUUACAGGUGUGUCUCAUUCACAUUGGGAAAAAGGGGAGCACACCAGUCCUGAGUACACAUCCCAGCUACAAGUCAGCAGAUCAGGGAAACGGGAAGUAGCUCAUUCCAAAACAAAAUGGAAAUUGAGAAGAAAAUGGGUUCUAUACUAGCAACAUAGCUUCCUAGCUUGUUCUUGUGGAAAACAGAUUGAGAGAACCAGGAAAGGAAAUAAGACCCAGCUAGACAUUUGUGCAUAUAAGGAAACACGAGAGCAGUCAGGCCAUCUCAUGGAAACUAGGAUACAGCUUAUACUGUAUUUACAAAUCUGUUUUUUUUUUUUUUUUUUUUUAAAAAGCUGGCAGGAAAUGUUUUAGGAAGCGUUUCCCACUUUUAUCCCAUUCAUUGCGGUUCUCAAAGGUAACUGAAGGGAAACGCAAUGAAGGAGCAAAGGAAACGCCUCCUUGUUUGUCUUCAGUCCCACCAGCUGGGAGGAGACAAGAAAUGGGAAAUGACUUCCAAUGUUUGCACUUUGUGGAAACUGGGAAUGGGAAAUAGCUUAAUGUUUUAGGAAGUGCUUCCCACUGUUGUGUCAUUCAGUGUGGCCCUGAAAGAUCACUGGAGAAAAACACAUUGUAGGGCGCACAGGAAAUGCUUCCCAGUUAUUUCUCCGUCUCUUUGGCUAUUGAGGAAAAUAAGAGCUAAAACUUCGCGGUAGACUGGAGGAAGGCGGGAGGCGAGCUAGAAAUUUCUAAUAAGACAGACUACAUCUGGAAACAAGAAGCAGAAAGUGUGAAAACAGAUUACUUAGUGUUAAAUUCCAGUGGAAGAGUAGCUGGGAUGCAGGAGAUGAAUCUCUUUCAGGUCCCCAUCUCAGUCUAAUAAGUCCAAGGGAAAGACGGAAUGCAUCCCAAUGACAAUAAGCAAGUGGGAAAUAGGUUAGGAAAUAUGUCCUAGUCGUAGCUCUGCCAGUUCAGUCAUAGUGGAAACUGGGGAAAUUGCAUGGAAGCAGAGGAGGAAUGGCUGCACCUUAGUCAGUUUGAAUUAGAAGAAAACAUUUUCCGGUUUGAGAGAAAAUGGUGGGAAACAAGGAAUGGGAAGAAAACACUUCCCGGUUAUACCUCAGUGAAUUUAACUCAGGGCAAGAGAAAAAAGGGAAUUGCAGGGAGGGGGGUGGGGGAGAGUGGGAAGCAGGAAAGAAAACAACUUCCCAGCUAUACUGCUGUCGAUUUUAUUAUAGCAGAGGAAGUGACAGGAAAGAAGUCCGAAAACAACAAUCUUAUUACAUGCCGUUUAUAUCAUCCAUCCAUGCAUCCAUUUUCAGACCUGCUUAUUCUGAGCAGGGUGGUAAGGUAGCUCAUCCCAGCAAGUAUCAGUCAGGAGUUACACGUGGACCAGGCACCAGUCAUUCAUACCAGCUUAGACAGAAAGGGUGAGGAAUCCUCCAUUUCAAAUCAUAAGGAAAACUUAAUGGGAAACAGCAGAGGAGGAGCUAUGAAGUGAGCGUAAAGAAGCGGUUGACACAGAGCUGCCAGUUUCUUGGGUCCCUCAGCCUAGUGGUGUAUUGAGCAUCUUUUGGCCUUUAUCAGUUCAUCUGUCCAGGGGUUCUACAAGAAUGUUGUCCCAUUCGGAAAUGGUGGCCUGCAACAAAUUUGACAGGAGAGGAAGUGGGAUUUGGUGUACAGGGCUGCAAACAACAUGUCAAAAAUUGAAAUUGUACAUAGAAAGUUCUACGUACUCCAAAACCAAAUUAAAAACCAGCAUGGGCCAAAAAUUCAAGAACAAGUCGGAUAUCCCAAGAAACAUCAUCUUCCUAAUGGCCUAAAAAUAUUCCUGACAUCCAACAGGCAAUCACCCCUGGGUUCAAAAUAAGUGGGAGGUAGGAAGAAGACACACACACACACCCACACACACACCCCUCGGACUGAUGAGCAUGUAAAAAAAUACCAUAGAAUUGCCAGUGUGGAAAAGAGUGGGAAACACUUCCUCUCCAUCAGUGAAACUGCAUGGAAGAGCACAGGAAGCAGUUCCCACCCACACUUUAGUCAGUUCAACUAUUGAGGGGAGAUAAAGGCCACGAAAAAACUUAACAGUUGUAGCUGCAUGAGGUUUACUAGGGAGAAAUGGGAAACCUAAGAGGAAAGGUUAGAAACACAAAAUGGGGAAUGAGUUCAGUGAGUUCAGGAGGGAAGGAAGGACUCAGGGCUUGAAAGUGAAAUGGAAAUAGGCAAAGGUUAGGAAACUCUUCCUGGCUCCACCUCACCUAUUAUGACUGAUAAAGGAAGAUGAACCAAAGGAGGACAUUUGAAAAACUCGGAGUAAUCUGCAAUUAUGGAGACACAAGUGGAGACACUUCCUCCACAGAAGGCUCGGCUCUACAGUAAUCCUCAAGCUCCACUUGUCCCCAUUUUCAUGUCUCCGAAGAGGAUCCAGGAAUCUGCUGACUACUGGCAGAAAGGUUCCAGCUAGUGUUGACAAGACUGCAGACAAGGAGAGCGCCACCUAGAGUGUGAAGGAGGGCGGGUGGAGGACAAGGGCGGCAGCUGUUGUUAGUACCACAGAUGAGGACAGCGCCACCUAGAGUGUGGAUUGGGGGUGGGAGACGAGGACAGCAGCUCUUGUUAGUGCCACAGAUGAGGACAGCACCACCUAGAGUGUGGAGGAGGGCAGGUGGAGGACAAGGGCGGCAGCUGUUGUUAGUACCACAGAUGAGGACAGUGCCAUCUAGAGUGUGGAUUGGGGGUGGGAGAUGAGGACAGCACCUCUUGUUAGUGCCACCGAUUUGGACAGCGCCACCUAGAGUGUGGAUUGGGGGUGGGAGAUUAGGACAGCAGCUCUUGUUAGUGCCACCGAUGAGGACAGCACCACCUAGAGUGUGGAGUUGGGGUGGGAGAUGUGGACAGCAGGUCUUGUUAGUGCCACAGAUGAAGACAGCGCCACCUAGAGUUUGAAAGAGAGUAGUAAGAUGAGGACGGCGAUUCUCGUUUGGAUUUCUCUUCACCCCUAACCCCCCCAUGAAUCCUCUCCACCAUUCAUAUGCAAUUCCUCUGCUGUCGACAUGACAGAUUACCAGUUGGGGAGGCUGCAGCAAUACUGACUCCUAAUGGCUACUCUCGUUAUUUGCAAUAAGUAAACGAAUGAACAGACUCACGCAUACGUCCGUCAGAACUCCAACAACGAGCCUACAUUCUGACAUCCUGACAAAAUAAUCGAGCUUCCUUCUUGACAUUUGAAAUCGAAAUAAAAGUGUCAGAGAAAGUG